rnacentral:rRNA from 1 species
AACCCUUGCCAUUAGUUGCUACGGAAAGGGCACUCUAAUGGGACUGCCGGUGACAAACCGGAGGAAGGUGGGGAUGACGUCAAGUCCUCAUGGCCCUUAUAGGUGGGGCUACACACGUCAUACAAUGGCCGGUACAGAGGGUAGCCAACCCGCGAGGGGGAGCCAAUCCCACAAAGCCGGUCGUAGUCCGGAUCGCAGUCUGCAACUCGACUGCGUGAAGUCGGAAUCGCUAGUAAUCGCGGAUCAGCAUGUCGCGGUGAAUACGUUCCCGGGUCUU